rnacentral:rRNA from 1 species
CCUACGGGUGGCAGCAGUGGGGAAUAUUGGGCAAUGGGCGCAAGCCUGACCCAGCAAUGCCGCGUGAAGGAAGAAGGCUUUCGGGUUGUAAACUUCUUUGACAGGGGAAGAGCAGAAGACGGUACCCUGAAAACAAGCCACGGCUAACUACGUGCCAGCAGCCGCGGUAAUACGUAGGUGGCAAGCGUUGUCCGGAUUUACUGGGUGUAAAGGGCGUGUAGCCGGGAAGGCAAGUCAGAUGUGAAAACUCCGGGCUCAACCUGGAGACUGCACUUGAAACUGGGUGUCUUGAGGGCAGGAGAGGAAAGUGGAAUUCCUAGUGUAGCGGUGAAAUGCGUAGAUAUUAGGAGGAACACCAGUGGCGAAGGCGACUUUCUGGACUGUACCUGACGCUGAGGCGCGAAAGCGUGGGUAGCGAACGGGAUUAGAUACCCGUGUAGUC